CCUACGGGUGACAGCAGUGGGGAAUAUUGGGCAAUGGGCGCAAGCCUGACCCAGCAAUGCCGCGUGAAGGAAGACGGCCCUACGGGUUGUAAACCUCUUUUGUCGGGGAGCAAAGCGAACCACGUGUGGUUCAUUGAGAGUACCCGAAGAAAAAGCAUCGGCUAACUCCGUGCCAGCAGCCGCGGUAAUACGGAGGAUGCGAGCGUUAUCCGGAUUUAUUGGGUUUAAAGGGUGCGCAGGCGGAGGUGCAAGUCAGCGGUCAAAUUGCGGGGCUCAACCCCGUACUGCCGUUGAAACUGCAUCCCUUGAGUGCGCGAGAAGUAUGCGGAAUGCGUGGUGUAGCGGUGAAAUGCAUAGAUAUCACGCAGAACUCCGAUUGCGAAGGCAGCAUACCGGCGCGCAACUGACGCUCAUGCACGAAAGCGUGGGUAUCGAACAGGAUUAGAUACCCGUGUAGUC
rnacentral:rRNA from 1 species